rnacentral:rRNA from 1 species
GACGAACGCUGGCGGCGUGCUUAACACAUGCAAGUCGAACGGAAAGGCCUGCUUUCCCUUGUGGAUUUCGGGUACUCGAGUGGCGAACGGGUGAGUAACACGUGAGUGAUCUGCCCCCAACUUGGGUAUAAGCCUGGGAAACUGGGUCUAAUUCCCGAUAGGACUGCAGGGUGGUGCCUGUGGUGGAAAACGAUUUUCUAGUGGUUGGGGAUGAGCUCGCGGCCUAUCAGCUUGUUGGUGGGGUAAUGGCCUACCACGGCGGCGACGGGUAGCCGGCCUGAGAGGGUGGACGGCCACAUUGGGACUGAGAUGCGGCCCAGACGCCUACGGGAGGGAGCAGGGGGGAAUAGUGCAAAAUGGGCGGAAGCCUGAUGCAGCGACGCCGCGUGGGGGAUGACGGCCUUGGGGGUGUAAACUCCUUUCGACCGCGAGGAAGCCACCUGGUUGGAAGGGUGGUGACGGUAGUGGUAGAAGAAGCACCGGCUAACUACGUG